rnacentral:rRNA from 1 species
GCAGCAACGCCGCGUGAGUGAUGAAGGUUUUCGGAUCGUAAAGCUCUGUCUUUGGGGAAGAUAAUGACGGUACCCAAGGAGGAAGCCCGGCUAACUACGUGCCAGCAGCCGCGGUAAUACGUAGGUGGCGAGCGUUAUCCGGAUUUACUGGGCGUAAAGGGAGCGUAGGCGGAUGAUUAAGUGGGAUGUGAAAUACCCGGGCUCAACUUGGGUGCUGCAUUCCAAACUGGUUAUCUAGAGUGCAGGAGAGGAGAGUGGAAUUCCUAGUGUAGCCGGUGAAAUGCGUAGGAGAUUAGGAAGAACA